CUUGAUCCUCACUAGGGUCGCGGGGGGUGCUAGAGCCCAUCCCAGCCGUCUCCGGGCAGUAGGCGGGGGACACCCUGAAUCGGUUGCCAGCCAAUCGCAGGGCACACAUAGACGAACAACCAUCCACGCUCACACUCACACCUAGGGACAAUUUAGAGUGUUCAAUCAGCCUGCCAUGCAUAUUUUUGGAAUGUGGGAGGAAACCGGAGCACCCGGAGAAAACCCACGCAGGCCCGGGGAGAACAUGCAAACUCCACACAGGGAGGCCGGAGCCGGAAUCGAACCCGGUACCUCUGCACUGUGAAGCCGACGUGCUAACCACUGGACUACCGGGCCGCCCGAGAGACCAGAUCCUAUUUCAGAAUUCAAUUAGCGGAACGGAAAAGAAGGAUCCGAGCUGACCAAAUGGCACUCUGACCGGCAGAGCAGGUUUGUUAAAUUAAUGAGGGGAUACAGGCGCUUCGGAAAUGAAUUCCCCAACCCGUUCAAUGAGCAACCAACUCGGAAGAUUCAGGAUGUUCAAAGGCUUGCAAGGGAAAUGAAAACCGGGCUCUCCAAACUUGCAACGGACGAAUCAGACUUUGGUUGAGUUUAUGAUGUGAGCGUUUGCACAAUACAGUGAAGCAGGAAGGGAGGCUGGGGUUGGGGUGGGGGGGUCAUAUGGCAGUCCCAUCUGUCUACUACUCAGUUGUCACGUCAGCUGGAGGAAACCGCCGCGAGGCACCGAGGUGUUUGUAACAAGACCCUCCAGCCGACCUGACGCCGAGACACCGACACCACUUGGCUCAAGACGAAGCUGGAACACACGCCGACGCAGGCGGGUUGUUAUGCUAACUGAUGCCGAUCAUUUGAGAUCAAGAGGAACGCAUCCGAAAGUGCGCCGGCAGUUCACGGCCGAACGCCGAGUCAUCCGUCAGCGGCCUUUUUCUCAAGGUUAGGGCGGCAAGGACGGUCCGGCGAGUCCGUCGUUAAAAAGGUCGACGUCACAAGGUUGUGAUGGACAACCUGCCACAAAGUAAACGGGAGAUUCAGCUCUUCUUAUUCAUCAGUGUUUAGUUCUCCUUAUAUCAGCAGACACCUCCAACUGUAAACAAAAGCCUCCCCUCCACCCCCUCACCUAGCGUAUCAGCACUUCAAACAAAAUGUCGAUAAGCCACAUCCCGACAUUGUCCACAUUGCGACGAGAAGCCCAACGAGCCGACGUAAUGACCGUAUUUUCGGUGAAAUUUCAAGCUCACUGCUCCUUGAAAUUGCAUUAUCUCAAGCUCGGAGAAAAAAAAAACAAAAAGAAAAGAAUGAUACGAAUGGCGAGCAUAUGGACAGUGGUCAAGCGAUGCACCGUGCCUAUUUUGGGGGUUUGCUUUUCAUGAAUUAAACGACUAUAAAGACAGAUGAUAUCACUUAAGAGACUCCCGUCGCUUGGCAAACCAAAAUGUAUCGGCCGGCCGUUCAGUGUUAGUCACUUCCAAUUUGACCAGCGUGCCUUGGCAGAGGUCGCCGUGCUCUCGGUGGCGUUCCUCCACGGCAGCCUCGGCGUUUAUUAUACUGCAGGGGUCGGACGAUGUGUUAUUCCCGCUACGUUUGCCUUUUAACCUGGCCGACCUGGUGUUCAGAUGAUGGUCCUAGAAGUGCCAAACCGAAUGUGGAUUCAUAUAUAUAUAUACAUACAUUCUUGCUGCUGGAGGCUGUAAAUUUCCCCAUUGUGGGACAAAUAAAGGAUAUCUUAUCUUAUCUUAUCUUAUCUUAUCUUAUAUUGUACUCGUACUGCUAAGUAGUGAAACCCUUUCUUGGCCUCAUGUGUCCUCGGUGCUGUUAAACUGAAUUUCGUGGCAGGUUUUGAUCAAUCUGCCUGUUUUUGGUGGAGAUGAGCUGCUAAAACGUUGCAGGGUUUAUUUCUGUUCGGAUUCUGUUCUUGUGUGUCUCUAGCAGGUGGCGGCGGAGUGCCUUCCCUCCAGCGUGCACACCUGCUGACAAAUUAUUCUUCAAAUUCGCCAGGUAUUUGAGGGUCACGCGGAGCGUAACGCCGACCCCAGCCGACAAAGGAGCAAACGUUGGGACACGAUUGCAAGUCAAUCAAAAACCGCAAAGAAUCCUCAGCGCCAAUCGGCGUCUCAUCUGAAAAGCACUUUGUUUUGUCAAGGAGCGAGAACAUCAUUCAUUAUUAACGACGGAUAAAUAGUCCUUCCUGUGGGGCGACGGCGUGCGACGAAUGGAAAAGAAGCGUUGGGCUCGCCGCUUGCUGUCUUUGAAACUGUCCGUGCGUUUCCAUAUGAAGUCUUAUUUGCCCGAGUGAAGCUCCUCAACUGACUUCGCCAUAGCUCUUUUGGCCCCAAAAUGCACUUUCCCCUUGAAAGGUCUCCUUUCAAGAAUGCCGCUUUUCAAGUCUUUGAAUGAAACGGACUCCAGUCAUCGUGUACGGCGUGCUCUCGGCAAUACUCUUUUUGCGUUUCAUUCGUUAGCAACCAGCAGGCGGCCCGGGCCACUAAUGAACACGGGGGGUGUGACCGCCUGCACCCUAAAUUAUUUAAGCACUUCCGGCAAGACGAGAGAACUCCCGGUGAGAUGGAAAUCGUCUCCCGUGUCAAUAUCCUCAAACCGUUUGACGUUACAUCCUACUGCAGCCAAAUCGCGCGUCAGUUAUUUGAAUCCAUGUUGGAAUUUUACUCGGGAGAGGAGCUCAGUACAGUGAUCAUGGACCUGAGAGCCCCCCUAUUUAUUUUUUACCCAAUGAGUAUGUACGACGACAUGUUACUAAUUGACAAUUGUCACUACGAGUACUUCUAGUAAAGCGCUAAGUGUUAAGCAUGAGGAUUUAAUACUGACUCGAUUAGCGCUAGUAGCACCUAGCUGUGAACUACGGCGUAGCUUUGCCGUAGUCCAAAAUGAGUACUGGUACAUGUAGUUUAAAACGGAUGUCAAGGGUUUUGACGACUAGUGACAUGAUAAAAUUCCUCAAGUUAACAUGUAGCACUUCACUGCUAGCGCUAAUAGCAUACCAGUGGUUUGGCUAGUCGACGUAGACAGUAUUACUUCACGAGUCGUGCUAGUAGCAAACAGUUGUUAACUGUCAUGUCAGGACAAAGAGAGUACACUGUCAAAAAUAACGUGUAUUUUAUUCUUAUUAUUGUUUUCAAAACAUUACAAUGUUAGUUAGCCUAGCAAAGCGGACAACUUGUUUGCCCCAAAAAAUAACGUGUAUUUUAUUCUUAUUAUUUUUUUCAAAACAUUACAAUGUUAGUUAGCCUAGCAAACCGGACAACUUGUUUGCCCCAAAACAGUGUGCAGAGUCGUUUUUGCUUCUAUCUUGACGCUAGAGGCUAGCUAGUACCGUGGACACUUAGCGCUGUCAAUUUUUGUCUUUUUUUGUUUUGCUGUUUACUAAGAAACGUCCCUUCACCCUUUCAUGCACCCUGAUAACACUGUAGUGACCGUUGUCCUCGAAAGGGUUAAACUGGAUAUCAAGGAUUUAAAAAAUAAUAGCGAAAUGAUAAAAUUCAACUAGCUAGCAUUUAGCUCCUCACUAGCACAAGGACUACUUUUAAUGUCCCAAUGUUCAAUAGCGCAUGAUAUUUGGAAACAUGUAGUCGUGCCACUAGUACGCCAAAAUUGGUACUAGUGGAUAAAAAACACGUCUUGGAUGCUUUUUUUGGCAGCUUCCCAUGAGAAGCGCGCGAUCGAAUCGAGAUGAGCAACAGUUAGCGUGCGCGGCGAGCAGCUUAUCACUCAGUCUUCAAAAGGCGGCGCUUUUGCCUUAAUGGCUUCGAUUCAUCAUUGUUUGGGAUCAGCCCACGUUGGGGUCACUGACGGCAAAGACCGCGGCGGUCAUCCGCUUUGAAAAUAUCCACUAACCCCGAGACAUCCAUUCCAGCACACGCCAUUACGCUCUUAAUGCGACCUGGAGAAGAAAAAAAAAGAAGCUAGGUUUUCGUGUUUUUGUGUUGACCUAUUACCAUCCGCCUCUCUCCGCCGCCUCCAUAAAUCUACAUAACGACACAUCCGGAAGGUUCGGGCCAAGACGGCGCAGACGCGGCGAGACAAAUGCAUGUUGUCGAUGCGGUGGAGGCGUCGAGACAAAUGGGUGGGGCGCGGCAUUCGGCAACACGGUCCCCCCCACCCCCUACAAAAAAAACAAAACUGACGCGAGUUGGAAUUAAUUGGCGCGCUGAGUUUUUAAUCAUCUAAAAUGGGACGAUAUGAAAUAAACAGGGCGUGACUCAUUAGUGGAUGGACAAACCCCGCUCGGGUUCAAAUGUCACAUUUUAACCCGCAAUGGCGCUCAGGCUCGUUGACCCUACCGUUUCACGUGUCACACGUCAUCGCCAGAUUUUUUGUUUUAGUUUGUUCCAAAAACCGAUGUUUGCUGCCCGCUUCAAACUGGUGUAUGGAGGCAUUCAUGUGCUCUCUGCGUUUACACUCUGACUGGCCAUUACUGCAGAUGGCGGGGCCCGCGAAGGCCAGCCAGCCAAGCGUGCUCGCAUAAAGGCACAGCUGCAGCGGCAAUACAGACUCUCCUCGCUCUUUUUCACACUUGGAUUUCUUCCAGCGGCAUCUAUCAGGAAAACCAGCGCGCUGCUUCCUGUCCUCUCCGCAACACACAGGGCUGCCUCUGUAGCAUUCGCAACCGCCGGAGAGAUUUGGACAUUUGUUUUGGCUCGGCUUGAGCUCAAACAACAACAUCUGUCUCGUUAGCUAAAUGCUAACAAAACUCCAGAGAGUGGCUACAAAUUGGCGUCUGUUGACGGGCAUAUAUUCUUUAUCCUUUGCAAAAACUUACAAAUAACACUGCCGCUUUAAGUCAGAGGUAAAAACACUUUGUUCACGCACGUCUUUAUCAAACUAACCCCGGGAGGCAUAGGCAUGCACGGCGGAGGGAGCAGCACAAUGUCAAUGGAAUAAAUGAAUAACAACAAACAAAAAAACGUGGCGAAAAUGCUUUCGUUCUUUACAUUCAAGUUAAUGAGUUUGACAACCGCUUCUGUAAAAUUGACGAUAAUUCUCCAACCAGUGGUUAUUUUGACAGCGGUAUGCCACUGCUCUAAACCGUGAAAAAUGUGUCACAUGUCUCUUUGGGAGGGAGGGGGGGGGGGGGGGGUAAGUAGAAUUCAAAUCAUGUGUGCGCUAAUGGUGGACUUGUGUGCGCCAGAAAAUGUCAAUUCAGGCCCAUUAGGAAAAGCGCUGCAAUUUCCACGCUUUUGUGUAGUGAUGCUGAGUGGAGGAGCUGGCAGGCGCCCUGACGUGAUUAUGUCAUUAUUUGCAGUUGAAAGGUCGGGCGAGCACCAUUUAAACUUCAACUUGAGCUGUGCAGGACAGCUAGGGGGGUGGGGGGGGGGGGGGGUUGCAUGCCAACAAACAGGCUGGAUAAUAGUGAGACCUUUGAUUUGAUUUCAUGGGUUUGAUUAAACCCCAUGACUCCCAAGAUGUUCAGCAAACUGGAUCGAUGCCAACGACGUAGAGUGACAAGCAAAACCAUUAAAUGCUCCACUCUUAGAUUCUUGAAUGUCAAGCCAUUUUUUUCCUUGUAUUUCUUUGGUUAAAAUCGAGGCAAACUUAACAAAAAAAAAUGUUUUCAACAUUUUGAGGGGCAGCGGUUACUACGGCGGACAGCUUAUCAUGUUAUCAGGUUACAGGGUGUAUGAAAGGGUUAAUAAAAAUGUCAGUCUACUAUUGCUUUAUUUUAUAAAAUGUUAAAGUAAUUACAAAUAUGUAAUUAAAAAAAUCCAAAUUUUUUGACUUCAGUUCAAUAGUGCGACGGUCACAACUUCACUGAUGUUACUUGGUCUUUGUGGAGGAUAAAGAAUUCACGCCCGUGACUAUUGUUACAUGUUCUGCCCGCGCGUCUUGAUCAGCUUUUGUGACAAUAUAUCCUUUUGCUUGAAAGCUUCUAACACUGUAGCACAGACGCUCUCUGUUAGCCUGUUGAUGGUGUUUUGCACUAUAUGUUAGCAUAAAGCUAACUUGACUUUAAUGACAAGCUAUGUGUUUCAUGAGUCGAACAUUAUUGACGGGCAGUGACAAUAAACAUAAUGAAGG